ensembl:misc_RNA Metazoa_SRP Metazoan signal recognition particle RNA
GCUGGGCAUGGUGGUGCAUGCCUGUAGUCCUAGCUACUUGGGAGGCUGAGGCAGGAUGAUGGCUUGAACCCAGGAGUUUGCAGUUACAGUGAGCUAUGGUCACGCCACUACACUCCAGCCUGGGUGACAGAGCAAAACCCUGUCUCUA